rnacentral:sRNA from 1 species
GGAAAAAGAUUGCAUCUUCAUGCUGCCAUUAGCCACAAAGAAACAGUUACAGUGAUCAAAUCAUUCCGACAGUAAAUUGAGAGAGAAAAAAGCAAAUUGAAAUCAAUGCUAGCCUAUCGUAACAACUUUAUACCCACUGUAGGUUUGAGAUUGCAAUUGUUUUGCACAAUUGCUCAGUGAUUUGAUGCACUAUAAAGCAAAAGCAGUUUUAACAUUAAUGUGAAAAAAAUGCUUCAUAUAUCCUUUUCCCCAUCUUUUGUUCUCCCUUUGAAGUUUUCUGUUUGAUGGAGGGUAUACCAAGUGCUUGGGAUUGAUCACAAUGUCAUUAUUGUAUUGGCAAUUCGCAGUUCGUUCCAACACCUUCAGAUAUUAUUUUAGAAAGUGAGCUGAAUACUGAUGUUAACAGUUUUUUUUCUGAUGAUGGAGAGACUUUUGGACAAGUUAUUUUGGGGUCAGUUCUCAGACCACUCUGUCACUUUUCUCCCAAAAGUCAGACUUCAUCACAGGUCUCCAUAAACCUGCUAUGUAAGCUUAUAGCCUCCUAUGUGUGGUUAGUUUAUGAUGGCUGAGCUGCUACAUAGUUCUUCUGUCUAGGUCACUUAAGGUCAUUUGGUUGCCAGUAGUUACAUCAUGUGUAGGCUCGCAUGCUGUCACAAGAUGGUGGUGAAGUGUCACUCCAUGUACCAGGAAAAAAUUUUGUGUUUUAGGGAAACAUUAAAAAAAAAAAACAGUACCCUUACUUGAAAUUGUAAUAUAUACAUCAUUGUUUUGUUUUUUUAGGAAACAUUUUGUGAAAAAAUCUUACUCUCAUAUAGUUCAUACCCACACAUGGAUGUCAUUUUUAAGAGUUCAGUACUUCAUCCUAAGUAGAGUAAUUGUCACAGGGCUAAGUAGUAAAAGUGUCAUGCAUAAUAGUGAAGUA